rnacentral:rRNA from 1 species
GACGAACGCUGGCGGCGUGCCUAAUACAUGCAAGUCGAACGAGAGCGACCGGUGCUUGCCCUGGUCAAUCUAGUGGCGAACGGGUGAGUAACACGUGGGUAACCUGCCCAUCAGAGGGGGAUAACAUCCGGAAACGGAUGCUAAAACCGCAUAGGUCUUCGAACCGCAUGGUUUGAAGAGGAAAAGAGGCGCAAGCUUCUGCUGAUGGAUGGACCCGCGGUGCAUUAGCUAGUUGGUGAGGUAACGGCUCACCAAGGCCGUGAUGCAUAGCCGACCUGAGAGGGGGAUCGGCCACAUUGGGACUGAGACACGGCCCAAACUCCUACGGGAGGCAGCAGUAGGGAAUCUUCCGCAAUGGACGCAAGUCUGACGGAGCAACGCCGCGUGAGUGAAGAAGGUUUUCGGAUCGUAAAACUCUGUUGUUAGAGAAGAACAAGUGCUAGAGUAACUGUUAGCGCCUUGACGGUAUCUAACCAGAAAGCCACGGCUAACUACGUG